GACGAACGCUGGCGGCGUGCUUAACACAUGCAAGUCGAACGGAAAGGCCCUGCUUUUGUGGGGUGCUCGAGUGGCGAACGGGUGAGUAACACGCGAGUAACCUGCCCUUGACUUUGGGAUAACUUCAGGAAACUGGGGCUAAUACCGGAUAGGAGCUCCUGCUGCACGGUGGGGGAUGGAAAGUGUCGGCGGUGGUGGAUGGACUCGCGGCUUAUCAGCUUGUUGGUGGGGUAGUGGCAUACCAAGGCUUUGACGGGUAGCCCGCCUGAGAGGGUGGCCGGGCACAAUGGGACUGAGGUAGGCAGCAGUCUCCUACGGGAGGCAGCAGGGGGGAAUAUUACGCAGUAGGCGGGAGCCUGAUGCAGCGACGCCCCGUGCGGGAUGACGGCCUUCGGGUUAUAAACCGCUGUCGCCUGUGACGAAGCGUGAGUGACGGUAAUGGGUAAAGAAGCACCGGCUAACUACGUG
rnacentral:rRNA from 1 species